AAUGAACGCUGGCGGCAGGCCUAACACAUGCAAGUCGAACGGAUCCUUCGGGAUUAGUGGCGGACGGGUGAGUAACGCGUGGGAACAUACCCAAAGGUACGGAAUAGCCUCGGGAAACUGGGAGUAAUACCGUAUGUGCUCGAAAGAGGAAAGAUUUAUCGCCUUUGGAUUGGCCCGCGUUGGAUUAGGUAGUUGGUGGGGUAAUGGCCUACCAAGCCGACGAUCCAUAGCUGGUUUGGGAGGAUGAGCAGCCACACUGGGACUGAGACACGGCCCAGAGUCCUCCGGGAGGAAGCAGUGGGGAAUCUUAGACAAUGGGGGAAGCCCUGAUCUAGCCAUGCCGCGUGAUCGAUGAAGGCCUUAGGGUUGUAAAGAUCUUUCAGGUGGGAAGAUAAUGACUGUACCACCAGAAGAAGCCCCGGCUAACUCCGUGCCAGCCGCCGCAGUAA
rnacentral:rRNA from 1 species